GUUACAAGGCAAUUACCCAGAUGAUUCAAGUAUGAAUAUGAAUCUUCUUAAAUGUAACAACAGAUGAAAAGUGUGGGGAGGGGGAUCGUCUCUUCUUUAACUCCUCCCUCCAGUUUCUGAAUCAAUAUUAGGAAAUUUGAUCCCACAAAAGGCCACUUAUACAACUGAGAAGAGUAAAAUUUGGUCAGAGUAAAGUAAUUUGUCUACAGCGCCACCAUCAGUAAGUGGAGUAACUGAAAAAUUACUGAAGAACUUAGAUUUAUUCUGUAUGACUCUGAAAAACGAAAGAACAGACAGGCUAUUUCGGCUCAUUCCAAGAGGGAAGCGUUCAAGUAAUAAACGUGCAAGUGCCAAGGGAGAGAAAGAACCAUACAAGUGAAAGAGUAAGAGCGCGACGCAAACUCGAAAUUGCAGCUGCUUUGCUAAUAAGAUAGAGCGUCAGUAGCAUUAUCUUCAGUACAGAAUUGUUUCGGCUCGAAGUAGUCGGGGCCACCGGGAAGCCCCAUAGGUGUUUUCUGUACCUCUAGGUCAAGCUAGGAAGACCAAGAACGUGACAACACGAGACUCUUCUGUGCUGCUUCGGUCACUAGAUCAUGUCCGAAAGGCACCGCUCUCAGCUGAGAACACUACAAAUCCCAUCGUGCCUCUCCAGCGGAGGUGGGCGGGCCCUUGGUGCACGUGGGCGACCCUGACCAAUAACGACUGUCGUUACAGCAAACAGUUUGGCCGCGUUUGUAAAAGGCCGCAGCAGGCAAAGAGAGACUCGGCGAGGGCGGUCGCCAGCGAGAGGUCCCUAGAGGUGCGAGGUAGGUAAGGGAACUCUGUGUGCGAGGCCGGGAGCGGCCGGACACGGCCUGGGGUGGGGGUCAAGGCGGAGAAUGUGUUCUGGGGACUGCGUGUCGGGGUGGUUACACUUCUGCUGGGGCUCACAUAGCACCGGAAGUGGGCGUCGUGCAGAGGAUGCCGGGAUGCAGGUCGCAUGGGAAGUGCGUGUGGUAGCCGGAUGGUCCCGGAAGCUGUACUUAGGCGCGCGCUCCUAAACAACACUGUGGGACUGAGGCCCGGAUUCUGUGAUCUGACAGCAACCGACCUGAUCCCCACACUCAGUAAAGGCCUACGAGCUUUGACGCUUCGGUCCAAUUCGACAGUCUCAUCCCUAAAAUGGGUAAAUAGCGCCUCCACAGGUCCCUUCAGUGAAUGCGCCUACUCCAGCAGUUCCUUCUCACCUGGGGAGCGCUAAACACGCCCCAAACCAGCGUCCCCUACACCGACCAGCUCUGCGGCUGGGUGGCACCAAGGCGAAACCUACCUCGUUCUGGGUUCCCUCUCCCAGCGCCAGGCGCUGUUCAUCCUCUUGCUAAGGAGAGACGACCAUCCCGAGACCCUUCAGGUUUCCAACGCAGCUCCUUCACAAGUCACGCUCCUUGUGUAUCCUUUCAAGACAGAGUCUGCAAGCCGGGCUCGGUGGCGCUGCCUGUCAUCCCAGCACUCGGGAGGCAGAGGCAAGAGGAUCUCGAGUUCGAGGACAGCUAGGCUAGUUAGAAAGUCUCACAGAGGGACCUCUGUGAUUUGGAGGCCAGCUUGGUCAACAGAUUGACUUCAAGACCAGCCCAGAGACCAGAAGAAAGAAUCAGACCUCUGGAGCUGAAGUUACAGGCAGUUCUGAGUAGCAUGUGGGUGCUAGGAAUCGAACCCAGGUCCUCUGCAAAAGCAACAAGUGCAUAUAACCACUGAGCCGUCUCUAGAUCUCCCUCUCUCUUUCUUAUCCCUUUAGCAUUUGAAUUUCAUUCUCCCUCUCUUUUUUAAGGUAGUGAUAGUGUUAUUGAAAUGCUAUACACAUAAAAUCAAUUUUUAAAAAAUAUUACAAUUCAAGAGAUCUUAUAAAUCUACAGAAUUGAAAAUCAUUUCACAGAGUUUAUAAUAUCUUUCAUCAUCCUGAAAGAAACACUGUAACCAUCACUACUCAGUCCCUCCUCCGUCCAGUCCUGUACCACUAGCCUCCUUCUGUUUUUACAUAUUUUCCUAUUCUGGAUGUUUCGCUCAUGGAAUCAUACAAUGUAUGGGCUUCUGUAUUGAACUCCUUUCAUGUGGCGUACUGUUUCAAAUGGCUAGUCGUGAGAAAUCUUGCUCAAUGUAAGUAUCCAAUAGAGAUUUGCAGAUGAAACUACAGUGAGAUACCAUAUGAUGCCCACUACAAUCAGAGGGCUGAAAUGAAGAAGACUGCAGAAAUAGAAAUCUUAUGUUGCCUGUGGGAAUAUAAAGGGCACAGCCCCUUUGGAAAACAGCUUUUCAGGUUCUGAAAAUGUUAUGUUCAGAGAAGAUAGCCAUGUUUACUGUGUUUGAACAUUAGUUUACAUGUAUUGAGCUAUAUAGCCCAGCAUUGUGGUCCAUACCUGUAAUCCUAUCACUUAGGAGGCUGAGGAAGAGGAUUAUUAAGAGUUCGAGGCCUGCCUAGGCUACCUAAUAUGUUCCAGGUCACAGAA